AUAGAUUGCUUAAUUGCUUGUAAACAUAUAAUUGCUUACAAUUAUCUGUGUAGAACACCCUCUGAAGUAACAGAACAUAUACUUUAAUUUAUGGAGUUACCAAUAAUAGUACCUUGGACUCAUCCAACAAAUCCUCCCAGUUCAUCAGAGCAAACAGCACUUAGGGAUGGUACAAAGCCACUCUGUCAAAACCAUGUUGCCCCAGUCUGUUCAUUUUGUCUGUUUUCCAGAACUUUCCAUCCGAAUUCUCCGGUAAAUCAGAUGAAGCAGAGGUGCCUUCACCAAGAUGUCUGGGCUGAGAUGGCACUGGAAGAAGGAUCUGUGCAGAAAAUUUCCCACUGCUGAGUGGUUUCCAGGAGCUCAGAGAGGACCUGGAGGCCACUUCAAGUUGCACUCAGGCAUUUCCAGGAUGCCCUUCAGGAAAAGCUUCCUUACUUUCCUCUGAAUAGGAGCAGAUUUAGGUCUUCACCCAGAGUCUGUCAAUACUUCAGGAAGGCAAGGAAGUUUUCCCGCACAAAAGGGGCUUUUUGCAUCCAAAUUCCCUUUUAUCCUCUCUCGUGAAGUGCUUAUUUUACUUUUUCUCUGCUCUACAACAAAAUCUCUUGGAGAACUGUCUCUCUGUGAAAGUCAUGGUGUCCCUGCCUUCCCUCACAAAUUGUGUAGGACCCAGUAAAUCAUCUCAUGGGUUUGGGAGCUGCAGUGGUUGUAGCAAAUACUUUUGAGACCAUUUCAGAGGAGGAAAACAGGGAAAUAAUUCUGGGAAGAUGAGGUACCUGGGCGUUUGAAUGCUCAAACUUUGAAUACAAAUGCGAUCCCCUGUGUGGAUUUCAGUCUAUUCCCCAACCCUCAAACGAUUUCAGUGGCUUAAUAACAUUUCUCCACAAUUUACCCAAGAAAGCCUGGAACUCUAUUUCAUAAACUUUAACUGCAAGCCAGAAAUAAAUUGGGAUCCAAGACUCA
rnacentral:lncRNA from 1 species